UUAAGCGAAGAAGAGCGCAGGGUGGAUGCCUUGGCACUAAGAGCCGAUGAAAGACGUGAUAAGCUGCGAAAAGCUUCGGGGAGGAGCAAAUAUCCCGUGAUCCGAAGAUUUCUGAAUGGGGAAACCCAGCUGGAAAACCUCCAGUUAUCCAUACGCCAAUCCAUAACGUAUGGAAGGGAACCCGGUGAACUGAAACAUCUAAGUAGCCGGAGGAAAAGAAAGAAAACUCGAUUUCCUGAGUAGCGGCGAGCGAAAGGGAAGGAGCCUAAACCGGAUUGCGUGCAAUCCGGGGUUAUGGACCGCAUAAUGUGAGAAGAUUUCAUAGCAGAAUGGUUUUGGGAAAGCCAGCCAGAGAGGGUGAAAGCCCCGUAAGCGAAAUGAAUAUUCAGCAGGCGGGAUCCAAAGUACCACGAGACACGUGGAACCUUGUGGGAAGUCGGGGGGACCACCCCCCAAGGCUAAAUACUACUUAGUGACCGAUAGCGCAUAGUACUGUGAAGGAAAGGUGAAAAGGACCCCGGGAGGGGAGUGAAAGAGAACCUGAAACCCUGUGUUUACAAGCUGUGGAACCACGUUAAAGUGGAACCGCGUACUUUUUGUAGAACGGUCCGGCGAGUUGCGCCGGCUGGCAAGGUUAAGCAUUUCAGAUGCGGAGCCGGAGGGAAACCAAGUCUUAAGAGGGCGUCCAGUCAGCCGAUGCAGACCCGAAACCGGGUGAUCUAUCCAUGUCCAGGUUGAAGCUGCCGUAAGAGGCAGUGGAGGACCGAACCCACAUCCGUUGAAAAGGGUGGGGAUGAGGUGUGGAUAGGGGAGAAAUUCCAAUCGAACCCGGAGAUAGCUGGUUCUCCUCGAAAUAGCUUUAGGGCUAGCCUCGACAGAGUCUGAUGGAGGUAGAGCACUGAAUUUCCUAGGGGGCGUCAAAGCUUACCGAAGAAUAUCAAACUCCGAAUGCCAUCAAGAUGCUUGUCGGGAGUCAGACUGCACGAGAUAAGUUGGGUGGUCAAAAGGGAAAGAGCCCAGACCUCCGGCUAAGGUCCCAAAGUGUGUGUUAAGUGGAAAAGGAUGUGGGAUUUCAAAGACAACCAGGAUGUUGGCUCAGAAGCAGCCACACAUUCAAAGAGUGCGUAAUAGCUCACUGGUCGAGAGGUCCUGCGCCGAAAAUGUCCGGGGCUGAAACACACCACCGAAGCCGAGGAAUCACGCAAGUGAUUGGUAGAGGAGCAUUGCAUAUACGACGAAGCAGCACCGGAAGGAGCUGUGGAGCAUAUGGAAGAGAGAAUGCCGGAAUGAGUAGCGAGAUGGAGGUGGGAAUCCUCCAGGCCGAAUAUCCAAGGUUUCCAGAGUAAAGCUGAUCUGCUCUGGGUAAGUCGGGGCCUAAGGCCAGGCUGAAAAGCGUAACCGAUGGACAACAGGUUGAGAUUCCUGUACUGCUGUAUAUCAGAACUGUGGGGACACAGGGGGAGAGCAUAACCGCGGCAUGGAGCUGCGGGCAAGCGGAAGAGGAGCCUGAUAGGAAAAACCGUCAGGCAAUCCAAAGCCGUGAUGCGGACCGAACUAAAGUAGGGAAGUAUGUGAGCCAACUGUCAAGAAAAGCCGCUAUUGUGUAUACAGCACCCGUACCAUAAACCGACACAGGUGGAUGAGGAGAGAAUCCUAAGGCCGACGGAAGAAGCAUUGUCAAGGAACUCGGCAAAAUGACCCCGUAACUUCGGGAGAAGGGGUGCCUCGCAAGAGGCCGCAGAGAAUUGGCCCAAGCAACUGUUUAGCAAAAACACAGGUCUAUGCAAAACCGUAAGGUGAGGUAUAUGGGCUGACGCCUGCCCGGUGCUGGAAGGUUAAGAGGAGAGGUUAGAGCAAUCGAAGCUUUGAAUUUAAGCCCCAGUAAACGGCGGCCGUAACUAUAACGGUCCUAAGGUAGCGAAAUUCCUUGUCGGGUAAGUUCCGACCCGCACGAAAGGCGUAAUGAUUUGAGCACUGUCUCGAC
rnacentral:rRNA from 1 species